UGAUGGAGGUAGAUAUGUACAGGGUUACUGGAGUGAUGGAGGUAGAUAUGUACAGGGUUACUGGAGUGAUGGAGGUAGAUAUGUACAGGGAUACUGGAGUGAUGGAGGUAGAUAUGUACAGGGAUACUGGAGUGAUGGAGGUAGAUAUGUACAGGGUUACUGGAGUGAUGGAGGUAGAUAUGAACAGGGAUACUGGAGUGAUGGAGGUAGAUAUGUACAGGGUUACUGGAGUGAUGGAGGUAGAUAUGUACAGGGUUACUGGAGUGAUGGAGGUAGAUAUGUACAGGGAUACUGGAGUGAUGGAGGUAGAUAUGUACAGGGAUACUGGAGUGAUGGAGGUAGAUAUGUACAGGGUUACUGGAGUGAUGGAGGUAGAUAUGUACAGGGAUACUGGAGUGAUGGAGGUAGAUAUGUACAGGGUUACUGGAGUGAUGGAGGUAGAUAUGUACAGGGAUACUGGAGUGAUGGAGGUAGAUAUGUACAGGGAUACUGGAGUGAUGGAGGUAGAUAUGUACAGGGAUACUGGAGUGAUGGAGGUAGAUAUGUACAGGGAUACUGGAGUGAUGGAGGUAGAUAUGUACAGGGUUACUGGAGUGAUGGAGGUAGAUAUGUACAGGGAUACUGGAGUGAUGGAGGUAGAUAUGUACAGGGAUACUGGAGUGAUGGAGGUAGAUAUGUACAGGGUUACUGGAGUGAUGGAGGUAGAUAUGUACAGGGAUACUGGAGUGAUGGAGGUAGAUAUGUACAGGGAUACUGGAGUGAUGGAGGUAGAUAUGUACAGGGUUACUGGAGUGAUGGAGGUAGAUAUGUACAGGGAUACUGGAGUGAUGGAGGUAGAUAUGUACAGGGAUACUGGAGUGAUGGAGGUAGAUAUGUACAG